CUCUGUGUCAUUUUACACAGCGUGGGAAAGUUCUUUUGGAUUUUCCCACGCUGUGUAAAAUGUCACAGAG
rnacentral:miRNA from 1 species